AAGAGCACCGGCUAACUCCGUGCCAGCAGCCGCGGUAAUACGGAGGGUGCGAGCGUUAAUCGGAAUUACUGGGCGUAAAGGGUGCGUAGGUGGUUUAAUAAGUUAUCUGUGAAAUCCCUGGGCUUAACCUGGGCAUGUCAGAUAAKACUGUUUGACUCGAGUAUGGGAGAGGGUAGUGGAAUUUCCGGUGUAGCGGUGAAAUGCGUAGAGAUCGGAAGGAACACCAGUGGCGAARGCGGCUACCUGGCCUAAUACUGACACUGAGGCACGAAAGCGUGGGGAGCAAACAGGAUUAGAUACCCUGGUAGUCCACGCUGUAAA
rnacentral:rRNA from 1 species